GAUGUACUCCCUCCGUCCAAAAAAACUUGUCAGACAAAUGGAUAAAAAUGGAUGUAUCUAUAACUAAAAUACGUCUAGAUACAUUCAUUUUUCCGACAAGUAUUUCCGCACAAAGGGAGUAUAAA
rfam:Triticum aestivum genome assembly, contig: Triticum_aestivum_CS42_TGACv1_scaffold_251600_3DL